AAUGGACCAAUUCGGAAUGACGAAUAUGCCUUAUAAUGUAAAAAGAAUAAUUUUUAAGUUAUGAACCUACAUACGAUGUUAGCAUUAUUGCUAUUUGCAAUUGGUACUG